rnacentral:rRNA from 1 species
UACGUAGGGUGCGAGCGUUGUCCGGAAUUAUUGGGCGUAAAGGGCGCGUAGGCGGUCUGUCGCGUCGGCUGUGAAAUCCCGAGGCUCAACCUCGGGUCUGCAGUCGAUACGGGCAAACUAGAGUAUUGCAGGGGAGACUGGAAUUCCUGGUGUAGCGGUGAAAUGCGCAGAUAUCAGGAGGAACACCGGUGGCGAAGGCGGGUCUCUGGGCAAUAACUGACGCUGAGGAGCGAAAGCGUGGGGAGCGAACAGG